rnacentral:rRNA from 1 species
GCCCAGAUGGGAUUAGCUAGUAGGUGGGGUAACGGCUCACCUAGGCGACGAUCCCUAGCUGGUCUGAGAGGAUGACCAGCCACACUGGAACUGAGACACGGUCCAGACUCCUACGGGAGGCAGCAGUGGGGAAUAUUGCACAAUGGGCGCAAGCCUGAUGCAGCCAUGCCGCGUGUAUGAAGAAGGCCUUCGGGUUGUAAAGUACUUUCAGCGGGGAGGAAGGGAGUAAGGUUWAAUCCCCUUGUUCAUUGACGUUACCCGCAGAAGAAGCACCGGCUAACUCCGUGCCAGCAGCCGCGGUAAUACGGAGGGUGCAAGCGUUAAUCGGAAUUACUGGGCGUAAAGCGCACGCWAGGCGGUCUGUCAAGUCGGAUGUGVAAAYCCCCGGGCUCAACCUGGGGAACUGCAUCCGAAACUGGCAGGCUUGAGUCUCGUAGAGGGAGGUAGAAUUCCAGGUGUAGCGGUGAAAUGCGUAGAGAUCUGGAGGAAUACCGGUGGCGAAGGCGGCCUCCUGGACGAAGACUGACGCUCAGGUGCGAAAGGUUWUAGAGAUCUGGAAU